UCGGUAUCGUGCUAAAUCCUAACUAAAUUGCUCCCAGUAGUGGGACAUGUCAGCCUGAGUCAUUCUGCAAAGUUUGGCAAGAGUCAAAUUUGCAUUUAUGUUGGCCAGCAACAUGUCUGAACAUGAACAUAUUUCAGCCUUAUCUAACUUUAUCUAAGGGGAAUUACAAGUUUAAAUUAACCUUAUAAGCUAUUAUAUUUAUUUUACUGUAUUUGGUGUAUUUGUCAGUGUUUUAUCUCAUUUCAAUUUCACACUUUUCUUUAGUAAAUCCUCUUCAAAUUCAAAAGCAGCCUGAUUCUUGAAGGAAGUAAUGCAAGAUAGUUUAGCAGACUGAGAACAUUGUUGAAGUACUGAUGUACAUUUCAACUGUACAUUGCACCCAAUAUACUGUUGUACAUUGGCUCUGUCCUGACAGAGAAAAAAGUUGACGUUCAAGAACAGCUGAUCCAAACAGUUAACCUGACACAUCCCUACGUCACCCAUUACCAGCCUGGACUUCUGGUCUGAGAACCUCAACAGGAUGAAUUGUUGCCUGGAUAAAGACAUUUUGUUCCUCUGUCAGAUCAUCAGUGAAGGUAUUUAAACCCUCCAUUCCCUGGUUGAAGGCACACUGCUUCCAGUGAACCUGGUUUCUGCUGCUGCUGCUUUGAUUCUUCAUCACAAGAUGAAAUUUGUUCUUUUUACUUUGUUCCUUUGUGGAUUCAUGCUCAAAGUAAAUGUGAGUGAAAUCUUUCUCUUCUGUUUGCUGUUUAGAAAAUCAGUUGUUAUUAAUGUACUUUUAGUGUUUUUAUCUCUUUAUUUUGUCCAUAUGUGAAACAGGCAGUGAAACACUGAAAUGUGUCUGUAUGAACUGCAGAUAAACGAUGAUAACUUUAUCAACUCUAAAAACUUUGAAGACAAAAAUGUUUUUCAAAAGUAAUUAUUUUUUAUAUCGGUCUCUUUUAAUUAACAGGGGAAAAGUUCAUCAGGAGGUUUGUGCUUUAAUGUUUCUGGUGUUUGGAGUUCACAAGGUGGCGCUGCAGGUUUCAGUAUGAAGACAAGCUGGGCAUGAAGGCUGAUGUUGAACGUUCAUCAUUUAUUGGAUCUAAAACUGCUAAACACAAUUUGGACUUUUCCGUGUCCUGAUAUUAAUAUGAUCUGAAUGUCUCAUAUGCAGAAUCCCUCCCAGAGGAAAAAUCCCUCGUGGCAUGUGAGGGAACAGUGGCUCGACUCUACUGUGAAGAAGGUCAGGCUAUCUAUGUGACCAGUGCUACAUAUGGACGCACUGACAAGAAGAGGUGCAGCGCUGGGAGACCUGCUGACCAG